rnacentral:rRNA from 1 species
CCCUUAGAUGUUCUGGGCCGCACGCGUGCUACACUGAGUAAUUCAAUGGGUAAGGGAACGCUAGAGCAUUACCUAAUCUUGAAAUUUGCUCGUGAUGGGGAUCGACGGUUGCAAUUUUCCGUCGUGAACGAGGAAUACCUUGUAGGCGCAUGUCAUCAUCAUGCGCCGAAUACGUCCCUGCCCUUUGUACACACCGCCCGUCGCUACUACCGAUUGAAUGGCUUAGUGAGGCCUCAGGAUCCGCGCUUAAUGUGUGGAGAAUUUGGACAAACUACGUCAUUUAGAGGAAGUAAAAGUCGUAACA